AACGCACCUUGCGCUCCUUGGUAUUCCGAGGAGCAUGCCUGUUUGAGUGUCAUUAAUAUAUCAACCUCCUCAAGUUUUUACUUGUUGAGUGUUUGGAUGUGGGGGUAUUUUUUGCUGGUCUCUUAUGAGGUCGGCUCCCCUAAAAUGCAUUAGCGGAACAAUUUUGUUGACCGUUCAUUGGUGUGAUAACUAUCUACGCUAUUGACGUGAAGCAUGUUCAGCUUCUAACAGUCCAUUGACUUGGACAAAUUUUCAUUAAUGUGACCUCAAAUCAGGUAGGACUACCCGCUGAACUUAA
rnacentral:misc_RNA from 1 species